rnacentral:Y_RNA from 1 species
GGCUGAUCGAAAGGUAGUGAGUUAUCUCAAAUGAUGGUUCCCAGUUACAGAUCGAACUCCUUGUUCCACUCUUCCCUUACCCCCUCCUCACUACUGCACUUGACUAGUCUUUA